rnacentral:snoRNA from 1 species
UGCUUCAUCACAUACCAGCCAGAGCAGAACAACUCCUUAUUUAUCCCAGUUUGAUUUAUGGUUUGUACCUAUGCCUGAUUCAUGUUCUGAACCAGGAA